rnacentral:scRNA from 1 species
GCAGUUACAGGUGUGGGCAGUUAUGCAGCAGCUUAAUGCUCAUGUAUGAAACUGC